CUCUGAAUAGCUAUGGCUGAUCGCAUGGUCUUGUACCGGCGACGUAUCUAUCAAGUGUCUGCCUUAUCAACUUUCGAUGGUAGUUUAUGUGCCUACCCAUGGUUGUAACGGGUAACGGAGAAUAAGGGUUCGACUCCGGAGAGGGAACCUGAGAAAUGGCUACCACAUCCAAGGAAGGCAGCAGGCACCCACUCUUAGAAUGAGGAGGUAGUGACGAAAA
rnacentral:ncRNA from 1 species